GUGCGCUACCGUCACACACCGGGUACCUAAUGCAAAUAGACAGGACAGGAGUAGGAUAGGCGCGCAGCAAAUGUUAUUGCUACCAUACCGGAGCGUUGAACAACCCAGAAUCAGGAGCGUUGAAGCGAUCGAUUUCCCAACCGCUGGAAACUGAAAUUUGGAACAUCAUCAUGUGCAGUCUGGAGGGAGCUUUUUGCUCUUGUUGCUUUUGUUCCAUGGAGGGUUCAAUCCAAGAGGAAAUUCUUUUUUUCCUCCGACAGGAUCCGCGUGUCUCCCUUAAAGAGACAAAAAUCUCUAGAGUUCCAAAUAGCAGAACUUAUUUGGAAUAUUUCAAUUGUGAUGCUCUCACUCUGCCUUUGAGAACACCGCAGAAAGAAGACUGUUCCUUGAAAGUUCCUUGGAGACCAUUGAAGCUGUUCUAAACUUAUUUGGAAUUUUUCAAUUGUGAUGCUCUCACUCUUCCAUUGAGAACACCGCAGAAAGAAGACUGUUCCUAGAAAGUUUCAGUAAAUCUCACCAGCGGCUUAUGAAAUAAUUCGACUGAGUCUCUUCAUCAACUUAAACAGAGAGGAUUCAAUUUAAAGGAGACCAUUGAAGCUGUUCUAAACAUCGACAGAAUGAUUAGGAUGCAGCUAGAAUGACAUCAAAGAAGACUCGGAGGUGCAAAAAUAUGGAGGCAGUGAAUUCUUUCGGAUUUCAGCGAGGACAGCAUCAAUAUAAGAAUUCAGUUUUGGAUGAUUCCAUGCUGAAAAAAGCUAUGGAUCUUAUAGGAAGUGUCAAACUGGAAAUGCUCCAUCAACAAUCUCCAGCAAGAUGCUUUUUCAAGUACCUUCGCUUGGGUGGAAUGAAUUUAAAAAUGCUUCAGGGGCGCAAAAUGACUUCGCAGAGCUGAGAUUCUGACUUAUCAAUAAAUGCACCAAAGUUCAACUCCUAUUUUCAAAUCUUUGGUGCUUUCUAUGGACUUAAAGAUGUGUUAAAUGUGGAUUAUAUCCUUAACGUAAGUUCCAAAGUAUUUGCUACUAUAUUAUUGUAUUUUAUGUUCAAAUUUUGAACAGAAGGAUCAGUCUCUAGAACCUGGCAUUGCGGAGGGUCUUAAAUGGACUGCAGGGACGUAAGCUGAGAGGAACCAAGUCAGAUCAGCUGUGGCCUUUCAUAAGACAAUUUCAUUCUGUUUGGGUAGAACGGUAGUGUGGAUUUUUCUAAAAAUUUUAGGCGAUUUCAUCUGUGACAUGAAGCAAAUUCUCAAGAGGACCUGUAAAACCAAUCUCCUGUAAAAAAAUAAAUUGUAUGAUGAAAUUUGCAAUGGCUAUUACGACUUGAUUCUUUUCUUCUUGAUGCGGUCCAAAUGAUGUUGGAUUACUAAGAAUUUUGCUUGUUUGGUUUUUCUUUUUAACAUUGAACUUAUUCAGGGAAGGCCAGCAUCAUGUAGGUUUUGUAAAGUUAUCUUUUUUUUCUCUCACGAUUUUGUUAUAGAUUUAUUGCUCUCUGGAAAUUUGCAUAGAUAAUUUUGUGUCGUUAUUUAAAAAAAAUAAAAUUCAAUUUUAUAA